CCCUUAGAUGUUCUGGGCCGCACGCGUGCUACACUGAGUGGAUCAGCGGGUCAGGUUACGCGAGAGCGUUUCCCAAUCUUCAAAUCCGCUCGUGAUGGGGAUUGACGGUUGCAAUUUUCCGUCAUGAACGAGGAAUACCUUGUAAGCGCGGGUCAUCAUCCCGCGCUGAAUACGUCCCUGCCCUUUGUACACACCGCCCGUCGCUCCUACCGAUUGAGUGGUCCGGUGAGGCUUUGGGAUCUAAGCGAAAAGAGCGUUUCGCUCCUUUUGCUGGGAGAACUCAGUCGAACCUUAUCAUUUAGAGGAAGGAGAAGUCGUAACA
rnacentral:rRNA from 1 species